CAGAUGCAUUAUGUAUGCCCAAGUAGUAUUACUCAUAUGCUUUUUAAUGUUCUGAGCUUCUGAUGGCAUUUAUAUCUAUGAAUAAGUACCUCCAGCAAAGAGGCAACUGGCAUGGUGAGCAGGACAUAGAAUGUUCUGAACCACUCUUGUUGUUAGAUUCUGUUUCUUAAAUGACUUUAUGGUAUUUGAAGUUCCUUAACAAUUGAAAAGAGUGUAGGAGUUAUGAAUAUAUAUGUAUCCUUCCAAAUGAAUGAACAUUUCUUUAAAGGUACUGUGAGUUUCGCUGUUGGCUUCAUAGGUGAUCAUUUUUAUGUUUUUGUCACUAUACAUGGAAAAGUCUUAAAAUUCCAAAACAUGAACAAAGUUUAAUGUAUUUUUUUUUUUUGAUUUUUUAUUGGAUUAUAGGUUUUGGGGUACAUGAGCAGAGCAUGCAAGACAGUUGCGUAGGUACACACAUGGCAGUGUGCUUUGCUUUUCUUCUCCCCUUCACCCACAUUUGGCAUUUCUCCCCAGGCUAUCCCUCC
rnacentral:lncRNA from 13 species